rnacentral:rRNA from 1 species
GAUGAACGCUGGCGGCGUGCCUAAUACAUGCAAGUCGAGCGAACGGACUCUAAGCUUGCUUCUCUGAUGUUAGCGGCGGACGGGUGAGUAACACGUGGAUCACCUCCCUAUAAGACUGGGAUAACUUCGGGAAACCGGAGCUAAUACCGGAUAAUAUUUUGAACCGCAUGUUUCAAAAUUGAAAGACGAUCUUGCUGUCACUUAUAGUUGUAUCCGCGCUGCAUUAGAUAGUUGGUAAGGUAACGGCUUACCAAGGCAACUAUGCAUAGCCGACCUGAGAGGGGGAGCGGACAGACUGGAAUUGAGAUACGGUACAGACCAGAAUGGGAGGCAGGAGUAGAGAAGCGAACGCAAUGGGAGAAAGCAAGACGGAGCAAAGCAGCGUGAGGGAUGAAGGGAUGCGGAUCGUAAAACACUGUUAUUAGGGAAGAACAGAUGUGUAAGUAACUGUGAACAAAUUGACGGUACCUUAUCAGAAAGCCACGGCUAACUACGUG